CCAGCUCUCCGAGUGGUGUGGAUGUUUAUUGGGCCUAAAGCAUCCGUAGCUGGCUAAGUUAGUCCCUUGUUAAAUCCACCGAAUUAAUCGUUGGAUCGCGGGGGAUACUGCUUGGCUAGGGGACGAGAGAAGCAGACGGUAUUUUCGGGGUAGGGGUGAAAUCCUAUAAUCCCGGGAAGACCACCAGUGGCGAAGG
rnacentral:rRNA from 1 species